rnacentral:rRNA from 1 species
AGCAGCCGCGGUAAUUCCAGCUCCAAUAGCGUAUAUUAAAGUUGUUGCAGUUAAAAAGCUCGUAGUUGAAUUUCGGGAUUGACGUGAUGGUCGUGCCUUACGGGGUAUGAACUGUUGCUGUUGAUUUCUCACCUUCUGGAGAAACUUGAUGUCCUUAAUUGGGUGUCUUGCGGAUCCAGGACCUUUACCUUGAAAAAAUUAGAGUGUUUAAAGCAGGCAUUUUGCUCGAAUACAUUAGCAUGGAAUAAUAGAAUAGGACGGCAUGGUUCUAUUUUGUUGGUUUCUAGGAUCACCGUAAUGAUUAAUAGGGAUAGUUGGGGGCAUUAGUAUUCAAUUGUCAGAGGUGAAAUUCUUGGAUUUAUUGAAGACUAACUACUGCGAAAGCAUUUGCCAAGGAUGUUUUCAUUAAUCAAGAACGAAAGUUAGGGGAUCGAAGACGAUCAGAUACCGUCGUAGUCUUAACCAUAAACUAUGCCGACUAGGAAUCAGACGAUGUUAAUUUUUUAAUGACUCGUUUGGCACCUUACG